AGAGAGAGACAUGCGCGCAUAAUCAAUAAGCGGAGGAAAAGAAACUAACAAGGAUUCCCCUAGUAACGGCGAGUGAAGCGGGAAGAGCUCAAAUUUGAAAUCUUAAAGGGUUUCCCUUUACGAAUUGUAGUUUAAAGAAGUGUUUUCUGUUGAGGUUUUGGUAAAAGUUCUUUGGAAUAGGACAUCAUAGAGGGUGAGAAUCCCGUAUUUGACCUUUACUUUCAACUUUGUGAUACACUUUCAAAGAGUCGGAUUGUUUGGGAAUGCAGUCCAAAAUGGGUGGUAAAUUUCAUCUAAAGCUAAAUAUUGGCGAGAGACCGAUAGCGAACAAGUACCGUGAGGGAAAGAUGAAAAGAACUUUGAAAAGAGAGUUAAACAGUACGUGAAAUUGUCAAAAGGGAAGCGUUUGACACCAGUGUUGUUUUUCUGAAAAUCAAUUAAAGAACUGUUUAUGCUAAGCUGUUUAGACUUUAUCAGCUAAUCUGUUUAGUUUUGAGCUUUUCUUUAAUGCACUUUUCAGUUAACAAGUCAACAUCAAUUUCUUUUGCUGUAAAAAAGCUUGAGGAAGGUGGCUUGAGAUUCGUCUUAAGUGUUUAUAGCCUCUUGCCUAUGCAGUCGGAGAGAUUGAGGUCUGCAGCGUAGAUCCUUCGGGGCUAAAUGCAUUUGUGCUAAGUUAUAGCAUUUUAUAGACAACUUGUUGACUAUGAUUUGUCUUGUAGCUUACUCGCUUAUGUUAUUUUACCUACGCUUAGGAUGUUGAGCGCAUGUCUCUCUCU
rnacentral:rRNA from 1 species